AAAUUGAAGAGUUUGAUCAUGGCUCAGAUUGAACGCUGGCGGCAGGCCUAACACAUGCAAGUCGAACGGUAACAGGAAUCAGCUUGCUGAUUCGCUGACGAGUGGCGGACGGGUGAGUAAUGUCUGGGAAACUGCCUGAUGGAGGGGGAUAACUACUGGAAACGGUAGCUAAUACCGCAUAACGUCGCAAGACCAAAGAGGGGGACCUUCGGGCCUCUUGCCAUCGGAUGUGCCCAGAUGGGAUUAGCUAGUAGGUGGGGUAACGGCUCACCUAGGCGACGAUCCCUAGCUGGUCUGAGAGGAUGACCAGCCACACUGGAACUGAGACACGGUCCAGACUCCUACGGGAGGCAGCAGUGGGGAAUAUUGCACAAUGGGCGCAAGCCUGAUGCAGCCAUGCCGCGUGUAUGAAGAAGGCCUUCGGGUUGUAAAGUACUUUCAGCGGGGAGGAAGGGAGUAAAGCUAAUACC
rnacentral:rRNA from 1 species